CGAGACCCAGCCAACACAUACCAGGUAUGUCCGCUUGCACUUCACCGUGUAUUGUCACUUCGAUAAGCUUGCGACCGAAAUAGCCCGGAGUGGCGUGGCGGCGGAUACACUUUCACACGCACAUCCACUGGCACGAGGAAUGUUGCUGAUUGGCGACUUCUGCUCUCAACAAUGAGACGAUUUAAUGAGAUAUUUCAACAAUUUGAGGUUGUCAUCAAAAUGUAAGGGAGCAGAGAUAAUACCAGUUCAUCACAACAGUUGUUGAUCCCAGUGAUAAGUACAUAAUCCUUGAAGUACAGUGAUUAAAUAAGUCCUGGUUCUAUUCCCUUACUCUUAAGAAACAAUGAUGUUGAAGAAUGUCAGUACUCCUCAAAGGGUCAAAGAAGAAGGAGAACUGCUAUGGCUUAAUCCAAUAGGUAGUAAAUCGGAACCAUUACAGUUUUGAAAUAAGACUUCCUUUAGCAAAUAAUUCACACAACAUAGUUAGUUCAGUUUAUCUUGUAGGUUGCAGGAGACUUGCACAUUUUAUUGCGUAUAAAAUAGAUUUACUUCAUGUUUAUAAAAUUGAGAAAAAUAAUAAAAUAUUCAGC